rnacentral:rRNA from 1 species
GUUUGAUCCUGGCUCAGGACGAACGCUGGCGGCGUGCUUAACACAUGCAAGUCGAGCGAUGAAGCUUCCUUCGGGAAGUGGAUUAGCGGCGGACGGGUGAGUAACACGUGGGCAACCUGCCUCAAAGAGAGGAAUAGCCCUCCGAAAGGAGGAUUAAUACCGCAUAAAGUUAGAGUUUCGCAUGAAACUUUAACCAAAGGAGUAAUCUGCUUUGAGAUGGGCCCGCGUCCCAUUAGCUAGUUGGUAAGGUAAUGGCUUACCAAGGCAACGAUGGGUAGCCGACCUGAGAGGGUGAUCGGCCACAUUGGAACUGAGACACGGUCCAGACUCCUACGGGAGGCAGCAGUGGGGAAUAUUGCGCAAUGGGGGAAACCCUGACGCAGCAACGCCGCGUGGGUGAUGAAGGUUUUCGGAUCGUAAAACCCUGUUUUCUGGGACGAUAAUGACGGUACCAGAUGAGGAAGCCACGGCUAACUACGUGCCAGCAGCCGCGGUAAUACGUAGGUGGCAAGCGUUGUCCGGAUUUACUGGGCGUAAAGGGUGCGUAGGCGGAUGCUUAAGUGAGAUGUGAAAUACCUAGGCUUAACUUAGGGGCUGCAUUUC